AUGGUCUUUAAGUUGGAUUUCAGAAAGGCAUUUGACUCCAUAAACUGGACCUCCCUCAUCCGCAUUCUUACAGUACGUGGCUUCCUCUCCAUAUUCUGCGACUGGGUCCAUGAUAUCCUCUCCACUGGCAAAACGGCUAUCCUUUUGAAUGGUGUUCCUAGGCCCUGGAUACAAUGUCGAUGUGGCCUUAGACAGGGGGAUCCAUUCUCUCCAUAUCUGUUCAUGUUGGGGAACGUAGUAAUUUUAAAAAAAAUUCCUACGCACACGCAAGAUCAUGGUGAUGAUAUAGCAACGAGGGGAGAGUGUUGUCUACAUACCCUCGUAGACCGAAGCGGAAGCGUUGACGCAACGUAG
rnacentral:rRNA from 1 species